AUUGAACGCUGGCGGCAUGCUUUACACAUGCAAGUCGAACGGUAACAGGGUGCUUGCACCGCUGACGAGUGGCGAACGGGUGAGUAAUGCGUCGGAACGUGCCGAGUAGUGGGGGAUAACGCAGCGAAAGUUGUGCUAAUACCGCAUACGUACUGAGGUAGAAAGUGGGGGACCUUCGGGCCUCACGCUAUUCGAGCGGCCGACGUCUGAUUAGCUAGUAGGUGAGGUAAAGGCUCACCUAGGCGACGAUCAGUAGCGGGUCUGAGAGGAUGAUCCGCCACACUGGGACUGAGACACGGCCCAGACUCCUACGGGAGGCAGCAGUGGGGAAUUUUGGACAAUGGGCGCAAGCCUGAUCCAGCCAUGCCGCGUGCGGGAAGAAGGCCUUCGGGUUGUAAACCGCUUUUGUCAGGGAAGAAACGCUCUGGGUUAAUACCCUGGGGUAAUGACGGUACCUGAAGAAUAAGCACCGGCUAACUACGUGCCAGCCGCCGCGGUAACAC
rnacentral:rRNA from 1 species